GAUGACGAAAAAAGAUGAUAAAAUUAGAAAUAAGUAUAUUUAAAUUCCUUUUGACCUGUAUCGGAAAAAAUGAAAAAAAUCCUUUUGACCAAAUCGCUAAAAUCUGAACGACACCACCAACACGACCAACAUGAACGGUUCUAAAUCCUUUUGUUCUUCUUGUUUCUUCAUUUAUAGCACCAAAUUUCUUCAUUACUGUUCAUUUCUAUUGCAACUACUAUAACUAGAGAGAUCCCAUAUGAUAUGAUUCACCUUGUACUAAUGGACAAUCUUAACUUGUUCAUUGCCACUGUAACAUGUGUUUGUUAAUCAUGCUGCUUAACAGCUUAAGCUCCAUCUUGUUGGGAGAUCCGAACCAGAAAAAACAAGAAACAAAGAAAUUUGGUAUUGAUGUUGUAAAUUUUGUUAUGGAAGAAGAAGAGAAGAUUUUGAUUGCAGAUUUACUGUAAGGUGUCUUUUGUCUUUUACUUCUCAUCCAUUGAAUUGAUCUAAUGGCUAAAAUUUGGAGAAGGAGAGAGAAGGAGACAAAUGGAGAAGGAGAGGAUCCAAUCCC
rnacentral:lncRNA from 1 species